ensembl:lncRNA
GUGGUAUCGACUGCUUUGUCUGAGAGGACACACGGUGUUUGUGGCAGCUACCGCUGACUUCCAGCUAUACAAAUAUAAAACAUCACAAAAGCAUUUUUCUUCUCGGUUUCGUGUGAGUAUAUAUUCAUUGAUUUCAGUGCAAUUAUAACUGAUCAUUUGCCUGCCACGAGAGUUAGAUCAGUGCUGGGCAUUAAAGGCUGCUCUGAACAGACUUACGCUGGGUAAAAUGGAUAGGAGGAGAUCAGCUAUUCUCUGCUCUGUGACAGCAUACAACUGCAGACAUCAGGGAAAUCAUUAAGGCAGCAUUACGUCUUCAAAAGCCAAACAAACAAACAAAAAAUCCAUCCUUCACCUUCCUCUAAACCUUAACAGACUGCUAUUCACUGCCUUCCCACGAUGUACUCUGUGGGGCUUUUUUUCCCUGGUUUUCCACUGUAGAACCAGCGGGUUACCCCGCCAUACAGCAAUCACAGCCACACACUUUGCUUUCACUGUUGAGGUCUGAGGGGCUUCCAAGAGAGAGCUGAGUCCACCAGCGUUGAGCUGGCAUAGCUGAGGCAUUGGUGCACAUUCACAACAGCACUCCAAAGGCUGCCUGUGGAAACGAUUACACCGGUGGGAGGCACUUAUCCCAUGCCCAACACGCAUAAGUCACCCACCUGCUCUGACCACAGCACACGGGUGCCCAAUUUGGUGCAUUAAGCAUUAACUUUGAACCGACAGGGGAGCCUUGGCGCACCAACAGUAGGGUAAAACCCAAACACAUGUCAGCAGCGUAUUGCUUGGAGAAGCCAUAGGAAGACAAGCUGGCAGCAGACGUGGCACUGCCUUUUGUCUCACGCUCACUUACUCUUGGGCAGCCAGACGCCGCCACAACCCAACUACCCGGCACCCACUGCUCUCCAGCUGCCAUCGCUCCAGCAGCAGAUAGGUGCCCAGCACGCUCACUGCCGGUGGGUACGUGAGAGAGGCUACACCACACAGGGGAUAUAAGUUAAAGAAACAGCUCUGCGGUCACGGCAGGGUUAAAAUACAGCCUCCAAGCCUUUAUCCCCUCACUGCUGUACGACUGCUCCGGUACACCAACGGGAACGGGAAGAGCAGCGUUUAGAAGUGAACAGAAAGUUAUCAAACUUCCGACGCGAAGCUGUAUUUAAAGCCCAGAAAUACCGAGUUUGGGGCACCGCUUCAACACUUCUCCAGCUCUCCUUUCCACACCUCCGGGGCCACCGGCGCGCUCCGCGGUUCAUCGCGCGGCACGUCCCCCCUCCGGCGCUUUAAACCUUACCUAAACGCCCCCCGCGCUGGGGAACGGAGGCAGCAGGUACAGCGGAUGCCUGGCAGUUGGCUACAAGCUACAUGAGCUAACUUGGAGGAUGUAGUCCAUGGGAUGUGUACACUGGACAACCCUCAACUGGCUGGGAUGUGGUUCAGGAUCAGUUCAGAGUGCUGGAAGAAGUCUAGUGUUAUCAUGCAUCCUGCGACCAAGACAAUUACACCUGCAGGCAUUUCACCACUGAGGCAGACUAUGCCUAGGAGUCUGAAGAGGAAGUAUUUCCACUCCCAGACCUUUUGUGCUCUUGGCAAGUUCAUGUCAGUGCCCUGAAAGUGCAG